rnacentral:rRNA from 1 species
GAUGAACGCUAGCGGCGGGCAUAAUACAUGCAAGUCGAACGGGAUAAGUUGUAGCAAUACGACUUUGAGAGUGGCGCACGGGUGCGUAACACGUAUGCAACUUGCCCUUAACAGGGGGAUAGCUUUCGGAAACGAAAAUUAAUACCCCAUAUUUACUUAUAUGAAUGUAUGAGUAAUGAAAGCUACGGCGGUUAAGGAUGGGCAUGCGGCUGAUUAGCUAGUUGGCGAGGUAAAGGCUCACCAAGGGGACGAUCAGUAGGGGGUGUGAGAGGAUGUCCGCCCACACGGGUACUGAGGCACGGACCAGACUCCUACGGGAGGCAGCAGUAGGGAAUAUUGGUCAGUGGAGGCAACUCUGAACCAGCCACGCCGCGUGCAGGAUGAAGGCCCUCUGGGUUGUAAACUGCUUUUGUUAGGGAAAAAACCCCUCGAUGCGUUGAGGGUUGAUGGUACCUAAAGAAUAAGGAUCGGCUAACUCCGUGCCAGCCGCCGCCGUAACAC